AUUGAACGCUGGCGGCAUGCCUUACACAUGCAAGUCGAACGGUAACGGGCCUUCGGGUGCCGACGAGUGGCGAACGGGUGAGUAAUGUAUCGGAACGUACCUUUCAGUGGGGGAUAACGUAGCGAAAGUUACGCUAAUACCGCAUAUUCUGUGAGCAGGAAAGCAGGGGAUCGCAAGACCUUGCGCUGAUUGAGCGGCCGAUAUCAGAUUAGCUAGUUGGUGAGGUAAAGGCUCACCAAGGCGACGAUCUGUAGCGGGCCUGAGAGGAUGAUCCGCCACACUGGAACUGAGACACGGUCCAGACUCCUACGGGAGUCAGCAGUGGGGAAUUUUGGACAAUGGGGGCAACCCUGAUCCAGCCAUGCCGCGUGAGUGAAGAAGGCCUUCGGGUUGUAAAGCUCUUUCGGCCGGGAAGAAAUCGUAUCAGCUAAUACCUGGUGCGGAUGACGGUACCGGCAUAAGAAGCACCGGCUAACUACGUGCCAGCCGCCGCGGUAAAAC
rnacentral:rRNA from 1 species